GUGGGGAAUAUUGGACAAUGGGCGAAAGCCUGAUCCAGCCAUGCCGCGUGUGUGAAGAAGGUCUUCGGAUUGUAAAGCACUUUAAGUUGGGAGGAAGGGCAGUAAGUUAAUACCUUGCUGUUUUGACGUUACCGACAGAAUAAGCACCGGCUAACUUCGUGCCAGCAGCCGCGGUAAUACGAAGGGUGCAAGCGUUAAUCGGAAUUACUGGGCGUAAAGCGCGCGUAGGUGGUUUUGUAAGUUGGAGGUGAAAUCCCCGGGCUCAACCUGGGAACUGCCUCCAAAACUGCAUGACUAGAGUACGGUAGAGGGUAGUGGAAUUUCCUGUGUAGCGGUGAAAUGCGUAGAUGUAGGAAGGAACACCAGUGGCGAAGGCGACUACCUGGACUGAUACUGACACUGAGGUGCGAAAGCGUGGGGAGCAAACAGGAUUAGAAACCCCGGUAGUCC
rnacentral:rRNA from 1 species